UACGUAGGGGGCAAGCGUUGUCCGGAGUUACUGGGCGUAAAGCGCACGCAGGCGGUCUCUUAAGUUUGGAGUGACAGUUGGUGGCUUAACUGCCAAAGUGCUUCGAAAACUGAGAGACUUGAGGGCUUCAGAGGGACACGGAAUUCCGGGUGGAGUGGUGAAAUGCGUAGAGAUCCGGAGGAACCCCAGUGGCGAAGGCGACACGCUGGGCCGUACCUGACACUGAUGCGCGACAGCAUGGGGAGCAAACAGG
rnacentral:rRNA from 1 species